GACGAACGCUGGCGGCGUGCUUAACACAUGCAAGUCGAACGGAAAGGCCCUGCUUUUGUUGGGUGCUCGAGUGGCGAACGGGUGAGUAACACGUGAGUAACCUGCCCUUGACUUUGGGAUAACUUCAGGAAACUGGGGCUAAUACCGCAUAGGAGCUCCUGCUGCAUGUUGGGGGUUGGAAAGUUUCGGCGGUUGGGGAUGGACUCGCGGCUUAUCAGCUUGUUGGUGGGGUAGUGGCUUACCAAGGCUUUGACGGGUAGCCGGCCUGAGAGGGUGACCGGCCACAUUGGGACUGAGAUACGGACCAGAAGCCUACGGGAGGCAGCAGUGGGGAAUAUUGCACAAUGGGCGGAAGCCUGAUGUAGCAACGCCGCGUGCGGGAUGACGGCCUUUGGGUUGUAAACCGCUUUGGACUGUGACGAAGCGUGAGUGACGGUAAUGGGUAAAGAAGCAACGGCUAACUACGUG
rnacentral:rRNA from 1 species